CAUGCAAGUCGAACGAGAAUCUACUGAAAGAGUUUUCGGACAAUGGAUGUAGAGGAAAGUGGCGGACGGGUGAGUAACGCGUGAGGAACCUGCCUUGAAGAGGGGGACAACAGUUGGAAACGACUGCUAAUACCGCAUGACGCAUAGAGGUCGCAUGAUCUUUAUGCCAAAGAUUUAUCGCUUCAAGAUGGCCUCGCGUCUGAUUAGCUGGUUGGCGGGGUAACGGCCCACCAAGGCGACGAUCAGUAGCCGGACUGAGAGGUUGAACGGCCACAUUGGGACUGAGAUACGGCCCAGACUCCUACGGGAGGCAGCAGUGGGGAAUAUUGGGCAAUGGGCGCAAGCCUGACCCAGCAACGCCGCGUGAAGGAAGAAGGCUUUCGGGUUGUAAACUUCUUUUAAGAGGGAAGAGCAGAAGACGGUACCUCUAGAAUAAGCCACGGCUAACUACGUGCUAGCAGCCGCGGUAAUACGUAGGUGGCAAGCGUUGUCCGGAUUUACUGGGUGUAAAGGGCGUGCAGCCGGGUCUGCAAGUCAGAUGUGAAAUCCAUGGGCUCAACCCAUGAACUGCAUUUGAAACUGUAGAUCUUGAGUGUCGGAGGGGCAAUCGGAAUUCCUAGUGUAGCGGUGAAAUGCGUAGAUAUUAGGAGGAACACCAGUGGCGAAGGCGGAUUGCUGGACGAUAACUGACGGUGAGGCGCGAAAGUGUGGGGAGCAAACAGGAUUAGAUACCCUGGUAGUCCACACUGUAAACGAUGAAUACUAGGUGUGCGGGGACUGACCCCUUGCGUGCCGCAGUAAACACAAUAAGUAUUCCACCUGGGGAGUACGAUCGCAAGGUUGAAACUCAA
rnacentral:rRNA from 1 species